UUCAGGCUGUUCAUCUGCAGAUACAGCUGCUGUCUGCUGUUGUCUCUGGAGACGAUGAACCGGUUCUGGACUGACUGAGGAUAAUAUUUGCUACUGUGAGCAUCGUUUUUGAUAUAGGCGAUCCACUCCAGUCCUUUUCCAGGAGCCUGUCUGAUCCAACUCAUGCUGUAGCUGCUGAAUGUGAAUCCAGAAGCUUCACAGGUCAGUUUGUGAGAUUGUCCAGGA